GCAUCGAUGAAGAACGCAGCGAAACGCGAUAGGUAAUGUGAAUUGCAGAAUUCCGUGAAUCAUCGAAUCUUUGAACGCACCUUGCGCUCCAUGGCAUUCCGUGGAGCAUGCCUGUUUGAGUGCCGCGAAAUCUCCCACCCCUAGCGGUUGCCGCAAGGCGCCGCCGGGCGGCGGGGUUGGUUGGGUGCCGCUGCCUGGGCUUUGGCCCAGGCUCGCCCGAAAUGCAUGAGCGCUUAGCACUCGCACCGUCUCGAGGGAAGGCGGCGGAGCUGGCAUCUGCGCAUGGCAUGAUACGUCAUUUGCUGUGUGGCAGCCCAGCGACCCGAGAGUGUGUGUGCGCUACUACACGCCCUUUCAUUUCUGGUCUCAAAUCAGGUAGGAUCACCCGCNGAACUUAAGCAUAUCAAUAAGCGGAGGA
rnacentral:rRNA from 1 species